CCUCGCGCCAAGGGGUGUUAGGGCUAGUUGCUCUGACUGAGAUAUCGUUUGAUAAACCCUUAGAACCUGAUCCGGCUAAUACCGGCGUAGGAAUGGGCUUAUUAUUCGCG
rnacentral:ncRNA from 2 species